rnacentral:rRNA from 1 species
GACGAACGCUGGCGGCGUGCUUAACACAUGCAAGUCGAACGAAGUGGAGAACGGGUGAGUAACGCGUAAUCAACCUGCACUUCAGAGGGGGACAACAGGUGGAAACGACUGCUAAUACCGCAUACGGAAGGAGGAGAUUGCGUCUGAUUUGCAAGUUGGAGGGGUAACGGCCCACCAAGGCGAUGAUCAGUAGCCUGUCGGCGAGGAUGAACGGCCACAUUGGGACUGAGACACGGCCCAGACUUCUACGGGAGGCAGCAGUGGGGAAGCUUCCGAAAUGGACGAAAGUCUGACGGAGCAACGCCGCGUGAGUGAUGACGGCCUUCGGGUUGUAAAGCUCUGUUAAUCGGGACGCGGUACCGGAAUAGAAAGCCACGGCUAACUACGUGCCAGCAGCCGCGGUAAUUC